GUGUCAGCCGCCGCGGUAAGACGAACCGUCCAAACGUUGUUCGGAAUCACUGGGCUUAAAGGGCGCGUAGGCGGGUGACCAAGUCUGGGGUGAAAUCUUUCGGCUUAACCGGAAAACUGCCUUGGAUACUGGUCGUCUCGAGGGAGGUAGGGGUCUGUGGAACUGAUGGUGGAGCGGUGAAAUGCGUUGAUAUCAUCAGGAACGCCGGUGGCGAAAGCGACGGACUGGACCUUCACUGACGCUGAGGCGCGAAAGCUAGGGGAGCAAACGGGAUUAGAUACCCCCGUAGUCC
rnacentral:rRNA from 1 species